CGAACGCUGGCGGCAGGCCUAACACAUGCAAGUCGAACGGGAUCUUCGGAUCUAGUGGCGGACGGGUGAGUAACGCGUGGGAACGUGCCCUUUGGUUCGGAAUAGCCCUGGGAAACUGGGAGUAAUACCGGAUGAGCCCUUCGGGGGAAAGAUUUAUCGCCAAAGGAUCGGCCCGCGUUGGAUUAGGUAGUUGGUGGGGUAAUGGCCUACCAAGCCGACGAUCCAUAGCUGGUUUGAGAGGAUGAUCAGCCACACUGGGACUGAGACACGGCCCAGACUCCUACGGAAGGCAGCAGUGGGGAAUCUUAGACAAUGGGGGAAACCCUGAUCUAGCCAUGCCGCGUGAGCGAUGAAGGCCUUAGGGUUGUAAAGCACUUUCGUGGGGAAGAUAAUGACUGUACCCCAGAAGAAGCCCCGGCUAACUCCGUGCCAGCAG
rnacentral:rRNA from 1 species